rnacentral:tRNA from 1 species
UCGGCGCUGGAGAGGAAGCUGCCUUCGAUCUUGUGGUGAUCGGUGACGCCGCGCCACAGGCGUUCGACCUCGACGGUGCCGUC